UUGAGCUCAGAUCAGGUAGGACUACCGCCUGAACUUAAGCAUAUCAAUAAGGCGAGGAACAGAAACCAACAGGGAUUCCCCUAGUAGUGGCGAAUGAAGCGGGAAAAGCUCAAGUUUGAAAUCUGGCGGGUGACCUCCAGAGUUGUAAGCUGAAGAGGCAUAGACCGACGCGGUCCGGGCGCAAUUUCCUUGGAACAGGAAGUCAUGGAGGGUGAGAACCCCGUGUGUCGCUCGGGUGCCGUUCGUCCUAGCGUCGUGCCCUCGAAGAGUCGGGUUGUUUGGGAAUGCAGCUCAAAAUGGGUGGUAAAUUUCAUCUUAAAGCUAAAUAUUGGCGAGAGACCGAUAGCAAACAAGUAGAGUGAUCGAAAGAUGAAAAGUACUUUGAAAAGAGAGUGAAACAGUACGUGAAAUUGUUGAAAGGGAAGCGUUUGGCAUCAGCCCAUGGCGCUCGAAGAUCAUCCGGGCUUCUGUCCGGUGCACUUUUCGAGUGUUGGGCCAGCGUCGACUUUGCCCGCCGGAGAAAGGCCAGGGGGACGUGUCUCCCUUGGGGGAGAGUUAUAACACCGGGCGUCG
rnacentral:rRNA from 1 species